ensembl:snRNA U5 U5 spliceosomal RNA
AUGCUCUGGUUUUUCUUCAGAACAAAGAAAUCUUUCACCUUUUACUAAGGAUUUUUGUAGCGAAGAAAAGUUAUGAGUUAAUAACCAAACUUUUUGAGGCCUUGUUUAGGCAAGGCU